UGGCAUAUGGAAGUUCCCAGGCUAGGGAUCCAAUCAGGGCUACAGCUGCCGGCCUACCACAUGGCCACAGCAACUAGAUCCGAGUCGACUCUGCUACCUACACCACAGCUCACAGCAAUGCCAGAUCCCUGAUCCACUGCACAAGGCCAGGGAUCCAGCCCACAUCCUCAUGGAUACUAGUUGGAUUCAUUUCUGCUGGGCCACAACCAAAGAUCCUUAGGCCAGGCUGCUUCUGCUAGAACAUCACAGCUCUUACACUCUAGCAAUUUCUCUGUAGGUCACUUUAUCCUUCCUCUUAAUGACUUGACCUUAGUGAAAUGUAGGUGGUUAGAAGAUACUACUCAUUUCUAGCCCUGUUUAACUUUCCAAAGGUGGAAACAGAGUGUGGUGGACACAACACGAGUGUGAUCGUGCAAAGUUGCUUUUCAACAGUAGGUGAGGAACAAAGUGAAAUUUUUAAAACAAAUUGAUCUGCGUGGAGCAAGCAUCCUUUUUUUUUUGCUUUUUAGGGCCACACCAGUGGCAUAUGGAGAUUCCCAGGCUAGGGGUCGAAUAGGAGCUACAGCUGCCCUAUUCGAACCCACAACCUCAUGGUUCCUAGUUGGAUUCAUUUCCACCGCGCCACGACGGGAACCCCAGCGUCCACAUAAUCUAAUGAAAGAGCAAUCAGUCAAUCAAUCCAAGAGAAACGGAGUCAAUGCCCCCCCCCCACUCCUUUCAAAUUACUGGGAGAUAUAUCUAUAGCAGUCAUUCCUCUAAGCUUAUCUAGAACACUGCAUGAAUUGGGAGCUGAGAGGGGAAAAACCUUAUAUGGAUCCCAAAUAAAUACAACUUGAGGUAAACAGCUUUAAUAUUUACCAAAUGCUUUGGUAUUUACCAAGAAUGGUCAUAAAAAUCAUGUGCCCCAAUAAAAGAAUAUAUGCAUUGUUUAUUUUUCAGACUUCCAAUAACAUACCAAACCCAAAUCUUUCAGCAUGCACGCAAACACACACACACACUUAAAAUACUACCAGUAUCUAAUAAAUAUGUGCAUAUAAGAUUGCACUCAUAAGUUGGCAUAAUUUACUAUACACGUGUGUUCUAUUUUUAUAUACUGAGUUCAUAAGCUGGGUAUAUACAUGCUUUACUGGGAAGAAAAAUCCUUGUCCCUGACCACCAAUGUGCCCCUAAGCGGUACCAUGUGAGGGGACGGGACUUUUAAGGGCACAGAGGAGGGAAGUGGUUUUACUCCAGGUUCCUGAAUAAAUCAUGGAGUCAUAGCUAAGGAACUGAUGACAAAUAGAAACCAAAAAGAAAAGGCGGGGGUUGGGGCAGAAGCCACUUGCACUUUUAGAAUAAUGUCCAAGCGAAGGGGAAGAAAAUAUCCACAAACUUAAUUACGCAUUUGGCUUUGACUGUGAGUGCACCCCAAAUACUCUGAGGAGAGAUCUAAUUGGGAAAUGUCCGAGGCGAAAAAGAGGCAGUUUGAGAAAUUCCUACCCAUCAAGCUUUAUUGUGUUAUUCCAACUAAGCAGAGACAAAAAGACAAAUCUCAGCUCCCUACUUUCAUUUAUAAUUGAACCAGGUCCAGAAGGAUGAAGCAAGUACCAUCUGUAACGCAUGCUGCAUUAGCAGCCGGGAGAAUGAAAUAUUCAAAUUACUCUAGGCUACCUCGCAUAAUGACAGGGCUACAAAAACUGACUUGUAACUGGCGAGGGGAGAGGAAGAAAAUCAAGUUUUGGGGUGGUAUUUUGUUUUAUACUGUUGUUGUUUGAGGGGCAUGAUUUAACCUAACAAAAUGUUAUUCUCAGAGAGAGAGAGAGAAAUAUACCAAAGUAUGCUUGGCUGGAGGGGGGUGCUUUUAAUCUAGUUAUUAUUCUCAGAAAAGCUGAAGAAGGGAGGGAGGAGAUAGAGGGAGGGAGGGAGGAGAAAGGAAGGAAGGAAGGAGGAAAAGAGAGGAAAAGAAAAUGCUAGCCCAAACUUCACCAUUUUAGAAUCCUUCUCACUUUAGAUACAAGAUCCCGUUGUUCCAGUAUUUUGCUUCAUGUAAAUAGGGGCACUAUCUGGGGGUGGGGGAGUGGGUAGAGUUGGAGCUGCUCAUUCAGAUACCGUUAAUCAGGGCUGCUGAAUUGUGUGACAUGGUAAGUGGCUCUAGCCCCUAGCAGUAGUCAAGAUGGAGUGACAGGCUCCAUUUAAGAUGUCACUGCACAUAAUAAAGUGUAAAACUAUACUUAAAAUAAACGAGAUAGAAACAAUAAACUUGACUCAGUAUUUGAACUUUUACAGACACACAGAGACUGGAGGAAAAAGCAUGUGUGCUUUGGGACUUUUCAGAGGCCUCUGCUUCUACAGUGCUUUGCCAGCUGUCAUUUUUAGGGAGAUCCAAUCAGGCUCCAAGUGGCGGUCAAGUGGUCGCAUCUUAUCAUGUGAACUGGGCAUCCAACUAGCUCAUGGCCAAAGCCCCCUGGGGCUCAGUAGCACAAGCCAUUUCCAGGGCCAGGCCUGGAAUCACAAGUCUUCCCUGAAGAGUGCCCCAGAAAGGAAGUGUCUGGCCCCUUACAUCUCCUGGCUCAUCAAUGCUUCUCCCAGCUAAGGUUCUCAGUGUUCCCCAUUGUCCACCUGUGUUGGGGGGCGGGGGGGCGGGGGGGGCUGGCUGCAGCCUGACUUCAGCUCUUUAAAAGGUUUAACACAAUAUUGUCAAGGCUGGUUGGCCCCAAAUUGGAAUGAUACUUUCUUUUUCUCCCUCCAGGCCCUGCAAUUACUGUUACAUGUGGGGGUGGAUUCAAUGUCAAAGCAAAUGUUUUCCUUAUGUUUCUUUCUUUACAAAAGAAAAAAAAAAAAAAUCAUAAAUGGGAGCCAGCAGACAAAGCUGCACCAGCCACCCAGGCUUCUGCGUCACCGACAGGGGUGCUGAGUUUGGACAUCCUUGUGCAUGAGACAGGAGGGCUUCAGCCCGAGAGGUGACCAGCCCCCAGAAACCUGUAUCAGUGCCACGCAUCAGGGCGGAGUUUGGAAGGAACCACUCUCUGCUCUGCUCUCACAGCAGUUCCUGGAAUUUGGGUUCAGCCAAAUAACAUUUUAAUUUGACGACUAUAUAUAUUUAUCACUUACCACUUCCACCUUCCAGCCCCAUCUGCAAUUAGAUCCUAAGUUACUUGAGGACAACUUUAAAACACAUUUUUUUUU
rnacentral:lncRNA from 1 species